rnacentral:rRNA from 1 species
CCUACGGGUGGCAGCAGUGGGGGAUAUUGCACAAUGGGGGGAACCCUGAUGCAGCGACGCCGCGUGGGUGAAGGAGCGUUUCGGCGCGUAAAGCCCUAUCGGCAGGGAAGAAGAUGACGGUACCUGACCAAGAAGCCCCGGCUAACUACGUGCCAGCAGCCGCGGUAAUACGGAGGAUGCGAGCGUUAUCCGGAUUUAUUGGGUUUAAAGGGUGCGUAGGCGGAAUGCCAAGUCAGCGGUAAAAUCGCGGGGCUCAACCUCGCUCCGCCGUUGAAACUGGCGUUCUUGAGUGGGCGAGAAGUAUGCGGAAUGCGUGGUGUAGCGGUGAAAUGCAUAGAUAUCACGCAGAACUCCGAUUGCGAAGGCAGCAUACCGGCGCCCAACUGACGCUGAAGCACGAAAGCGUGGGUAUCGAACAGGAUUAGAUACCCGGGUAGUC